GAUGAACGCUGGCGGCGUGCUUAACACAUGCAAGUCGAACGGUGAAGGCGGAGCUUGCUCUGCUGGAUCAGUGGCGAACGGGCGAGUAACACGUGAGCAAUCUGCCCCUGACUCUGGGAUAAGCGCUGGAAACGGCGUCUAAUACUGGAUACGAGCUGCGACGGCAUCUUCAGCAGCUGGAAAGAAUUUCGGUCAGGGAUGAGCUCGCGGCCUAUCAGCUUGUUGGUGAGGUAAUGGCUCACCAAGGCGUCGACGGGUAGCCGGCCUGAGAGGGUGACCGGCCACACUGGGACUGAGACACGGCCCAGACUCCUACGGGAGGCAGCAGUGGGGAAUAUUGCACAAUGGGCGAAAGCCUGAUGCAGCAACGCCGCGUGAGGGACGACGGCCUUCGGGUUGUAAACCUCUUUUAGCAGGGAAGAAGCGAAAGUGACGGUACCUGCAGAAAAAGCGCCGGCUAACUACGUG
rnacentral:rRNA from 1 species